rnacentral:hammerhead_ribozyme from 1 species
AUCCGGCUGACGAAUUUCAACUAGGACGAAACGCGCGUUCUGGAU